AGAAUUAACGCUGGCGGCGUGCCUAACACAUGCAAGUCGAACGAGAAAGUGGAGCAAUCCAUGAGUAAAGUGGCGCACGGGUGAGUAACACGUGACUAACCUACCCUUGAGUGGGGGAUAACCUAGGGAAACCUGGGCUAAUACCGCAUAAUACCUUCGGGUCAAAGGAGCAAUUCGCUUAAGGAGGGGGUCGCGGCCGAUUAGUUAGUUGGCGGGGUAAUGGCCCACCAAGACUGUGAUCGGUAUCCGGCCUGAGAGGGCGCACGGACACACUGGAACUGAAACACGGUCCAGACUCCUACGGGAGGCAGCAGUGGGGAAUUUUGCGCAAUGGGGGAAACCCUGACGCAGCAACGCCGCGUGGAGGAUGAAGCCCCUUGGGGCGUAAACUCCUUUCGAUCGGGACGAUUAUGACGGUACCGGAAGAAGAAGCCCCGGCUAACUUCGUGCCAGCAGCCGC
rnacentral:rRNA from 1 species